UAGGGAAUCUUCCACAAUGGACGCAAGUCUGAUGGAGCAACGCCGCGUGAGUGAAGAAGGUUUUCGGAUCGUAAAGCUCUGUUGUUGGUGAAGACGGAUAGAGGCAGUAACUGGUCUUUAUUUGACGGUAAUCAACCAGAAAGUCACGGCUAACUACGUGCCAGCAGCCGCGGUAAUACGUAGGUGGCAAGCGUUGUCCGGAUUUAUUGGGCGUAAAGCGAGCGCAGGCGGAAUGAUAAGUCUGAUGUGAAAGCCCACGGCUCAACCGUGGAACUGCAUCGGAAACUGUCAUUCUUGAGUGCAGAAGAGGAGAGUGGAAUUCCAUGUGUAGCGGUGGAAUGCGUAGAUAUAUGGAAGAACACCAGUGGCGAAGGCGGCUCUCUGGUCUGCAACUGACGCUGAGGCUCGAAAGCAUGGGUAGCGAACAGG
rnacentral:rRNA from 1 species